UACGGAGGGUGCAAGCGUUAAUCGGAAUUACUGGGCGUAAAGGGUGCGUAGGCGGUUGUUUAAGUCUGUUGUGAAAUCCCCGGGCUCAACCUGGGAAUGGCAAUGGAUACUGGGCAGCUAGAGUGUGUCAGAGGAUGGUGGAAUUCCCGGUGUAGCGGUGAAAUGCGUAGAGAUCGGGAGGAACAUCAGUGGCGAAGGCGGCCAUCUGGGACAACACUGACGCUGAAGCACGAAAGCGUGGGGAGCAAACAGG
rnacentral:rRNA from 1 species